rnacentral:lncRNA from 1 species
CCAGAAGCGGGGCUCUUUACUGAAUUUGCUCUUGCCCUUUGAUUUUAUUUUAGAGGCGUGAUGCUGCGCAACCACCAGGGCAUCGGGGCAGAAAAAUGAGACAUUUUCAGCUCUUCCACUGUCGUAGAUGGCAAGAAUCUUUGAUCGAAAGAAAAGCAAAUGGCCAAUAAUAUCUUGAGACAAAAAAAUAAUAUUAAAAA